rnacentral:snRNA from 1 species
AUCGCUUCUCGGCCUUUUGGCUAAGAUCAAGUGUAGUAUCUGUUCUUAUCAGUUUAAUAUCUGAUACGUCCAAAAAUUCUUUUUUUUUUUUUUAAAAAGAAGGAUUCGGCUUCUACUGCUUCUUAGCGGUGAAAGCCCCCACACCCACCCCCA